rnacentral:rRNA from 1 species
GAUGAACGCUGGCGGCGUGCCUAAUACAUGCAAGUCGAACGGGGUUGUUGUAGCAAAUACGACAACUUAGUGGCGAACGGGUGAGUAACGCGUUGGUGACCUGCCCCGAAGAGGGGGAUAACAGUCCGAAAGGAUUGCUAAUACCCCAUGUGGUCAUCGGGUUUAGAAACCGAUGACUAAAGCAGUAAUGCGCUUUGGGAGGGACCUGCGUCCCAUCAGCUAGUUGGUAGGGUAAUGGCCUACCAAGGCGACGACGGGUAGGGGACCUGAGAGGGUGGCCCCCCACAAUGGAACUGAAACACGGUCCAUACACCUACGGGAGGCAG